ensembl:ncRNA lncRNA:CR46212 long non-coding RNA:CR46212
ACAUACAUUUUUUACGAGUUCGUGGUAUAUUCCACGAAUUCCCUCCGCCGCACAUGAUGAUUGAUCGGAUCUCAACACGACUUUCACCUUAUCAUCCAAUUGCAGAGCAUCGAAGUUCGUUGGCCUGUGAUGGCUGUCAUCUCCUAGCUGCUACGGCUUAAUUCCCUUAAAGAAACCUGGCCGCAUGCCCUCAGCUUGUGGCCUUCCAUUUAGUUACUGGCCUGGUUCUGCAAUAUUCAUGCAGCUCUCGAGUUCCCGGUAAAGUCAAAUCGAGCCUUGGGCCGUUCGCUCGUUUACAGCUCUUCUCAUCGUAAGCCCCUCACCCUUCUUUAUGUUUCCAUGGACCUGUGCAACGGUACAAAGUUUACGAAACGUUGGAAAAUUGUUUGCGGCCAUAAAAUUGUGUGCAACCGAAGGUCCGAAAAAGACCCCCGGGCUGAAGUUGUAAUUGGGAAUGAGCUCGAACAGACAUCGCCCUCAGCCGCUCGGCAUUUUGUUGGCUCCUUUCGGAUUGGCUCUGCUCUCCAAGAUACACGUUAAAAUCUUUUAGCUGUUUUAAAUCUUUCGGACUUCAAUUUGCUUGGCAAUCCUCUUAAAACAUUAUUGUAUACUUUUAAAAUUCGUUUAAUUUGCAUUUUUUAUAUACACUUACAGAAAUUUUCAUUUCACUUUUUCAUGCA